GGGAUUUUGAACAGUGGAAAGAGCAGCUGGAUUUUAGCCUAAUUUAAGCCUUUCUCUCGCGCACUAAUGAGGUCUGCUGAACUGUUGUUAGUCACUGGAGAGAGUAAGGGUCAGGAUCGUGCAGAUGGCAUCUUUGAGACAUGCUAAACGAGCUAUGACAGUAUUUAUUGCCAUUGAGUUUCUGCACUAUUAAUCUUUGGUAAACUGAUGGGUAUUUACAAAAUAUCUAACAAUAUAACUGAACAUAUGUAAUGGGUAACCUAAAGUAGGACAUUCUCAUAUCACCUAGAGACACUUUUCUGCAGCAUAAACCUUGUAAAGUACGUAUAUGAAUCACUAUAACGUUUAGCUGUCUGUCUGUCCCUAGUAGAGAACCACAAGAGCAAUAGACCUCAGAUAACACGGACUGCUGUAGAAAUCAGUAGAACAUUUGGAAUCUGGCUGACGAGCAUGUGUGUGCUUCUCGAUGGAGUGCUGUGCUGUUCUCCUGAAGUAUGGCUGAGCUGUUAGUUGAACUGGUCCACUCAAGUCACACAGAACAUAGGUCAUGCCUUAUCUAUGAGAAAACCUUCCUAGACUUACCUGAGAUUACCUAUGCCACACAGUCCUCUGCAGUGGCCUCACCUCAGAAUGAAGAAUGAUCACAUUCUUCAGAACUCUGCAGUCUUCCAGUCAUCCCAAGGCCAUGGAUGUUGGGGGGCUAUCCCACCCAACUUCUGUGGUCAAAUAAUCCUGGUCCCUCCCAUUCCACUGAAGCAGCAGCUGGAGGCUGAGGGAGAGACACACCUCUGUGGUAAUCAAUCUCAGUCCCUUGGAAAGGCCGAAAGCCUGAUUCCUCAGGUUUACAUCUCCUUGGAGCUAAUGCAGCACACAGGUACAUAGUAGUGAAAAGGGCCACAGACUCCUUACCCCCACUGAUAACAUGAGGACAGGGGGACCUGAUGCCUCCAACAGCAGCAUUGUUUUUGAGGGAUGGGGAGAUAGAAUGUGGAAUGACAGUGUUCUGCCCCUUACAAACAUGACUCGAAACACCCACAAAGCCAGAUGCCCCUCCUUCGUGUUCGCAGACAUUAGCUCUCUGUUAAAGCCCCACUUUUACUUCUAAAUCCUUCUAAAUAUUGACUCAGACUGUCAACAUUGCCCUCAAAAGUCUCCUUGCCCUACAGGUAUUUUUUCAUGGGAACUAGGGUCCUGGAAAGCUGGAACUCAAAAGAUUCUUACUGUUAACACUGGCAGAAUAGGAGGGAGGGAGAACACAGCCUACCCUUCCAGCACCAGAAUGGGCAAAACUCAGAACAGGUUAAGUAGUCGUUCCCGCUCGUUGGAUUGAGUAGGUGGAAAGCCAAGGCUGGAAGGUUAUCAGAGGACUCUGGUUUCUCCCACCCAGUGUUGUGUUGCCUCCACGAAGAAGGCUUAGCAUGGUUUGGGGUAGGCAACAUUUAAACACCCAGAAAAAAGGACAUGAUUCAAGGUGACCUUUAUACUGUAGCACUUUGCUGUUACCCCCAAUAUGUAUCUGCAUUUGUCAUUUGUUCAUCUCCCUUUACCUACAUACAGUAUUAUAUAGAGGACAUGGGGAAACGCAAGCAAUUGAACUUUGUUUUGUCCAUUGUAUAUAUGUGCACCCACACCAUUUGAGUUUUAUUGAAGUAGUCACAAAGGGCUUAUGAAAAUCACUUUUGAAUUAAUAACCAGAUGACAAGCAAUCCUGUGAUCCACUAAUAUGUUUUAUCUCAGUUAUGAUUAUAAAACAAUUAUGGAUUUAAGUUGUUUUGAUUUAACUACAAAUAAAGUUAUAUGUAUUGAUGUCUCCCAUCAAUAUGUGGAUAUUUUUUAAGUGGACUUGUAUGCUGAUAAUUCUAGACCAAAGUAAAUAUGGCAGAAUAUUUAUACAUACAAAUAAUUUUGCAAAUAUUUUCUAUAAUUGUAUUAUUCAUUUAAAAUGUUGAUAGCUUGUGUUAGUUUCAGGGAGGGGGUGUAUAUUUUGAUAAAAUACUUGACUUUGUAAUUCUGUAUAUUCUAUACAAUUUAUAGCAGAGCCAUUUUAAGACAACUGGUUACAUUUUUUUGUUGAUUGUGUAAAUGUUAUGAGUGGUGUUUAAGUAUGCAUCAAGUACAUAAUGACCAAGUAGAAUUAAAGUGUAAACAGUGAACAUACUGUAUGCUGUAAAGAUAUAUUGUAACUUGCUGUUUUUAGCAUCUGUAUUUUGGUUAGGAAAUAUGAUUAAAUGCAGAUGUUAAGGGUUGGAAAGGUCUAAUUUUAUUUUUAGAAAUAAUGAAUAUAAAUUUGUUUUGCUUGAUUAAAAUAGCUCAUUCCUAUAUUAA
rnacentral:lncRNA from 1 species